UCCCUUUACAAGCAGAUCCGUCUGGAAUAAAACCGCAGCCCUUUGUAAAAGGUGAAGUUGGUUCUUUCCUGAAGCAUGCUCCUUGGGAGCACACUGAAAUGUCUGCAUCUCUCAAUGGACCAAUGGUUUUGACCCUAAAAUCUAAAUACAGACUGGACGGAGGAUUGGUCUUCUCCAAAAAUUUUAGAAUGAAGUACAAAGAUUGUGCUGAUAUUUUAAAAAAGAAACCACAUCGUAAAAAUAGAGAUGGUGUGUACACAAUCUAUCCUGAAAAAGGCAUGAAAAAGAAAGUGUUCUGUGAUAUGACAACAGACGGAGGGGGGUGGACGGU